rnacentral:SRP_RNA from 1 species
ACAGGCUAGGUUGGGGUUAGGGGUCCCUUUACCGCAAAUCCCCUUUAUGGCGGACCGAAUGCCCGCGGAGUCCUAUGCCUUUAGGAGAGGAGUGGGAGUAGGAGCAUAGACCUUCUGCCCCCCAUUGGACUGUGCGCGUGAAACGGGUCAGGCGGAAACGAGCAGCCCUAAGCGUGCACGUGUCUGUUUGGGGAUACGCAGGAGCGAGCCACCGCUCCUUCCAACCGCCUAGGGGUCUUAGGGCGUAGCGGGAAGCCUGU